rnacentral:rRNA from 1 species
AGAGUUUGAUCAUGGCUCAGAACGUACGCUGGCGGCACGCCUUAUACAUGCAAGUCGAACGAAGUAGCAAUACUUAGUGGCAGACGGGUGAGUAACAUGUAGGUAUCUUCCCUUUGGUGAGGAAUAACACGAGGAAACUUGUGCUAAUACCUCAUAAGUCUUUACGGAGAAAGCUUUAUGCGCCGAAGGAUGAGCCUGCACUUGAUUAGUUUGUUGGUGAGGUAAUGGCUUACCAAGACUUUGAUCUAUAGCUGAUCUGAGAGGAUGAUCAGCCACAUUGGGACUGAGACACGGCCCAAACUCCUACGGGAGGCAGCAGUAGGGAAUAUUGCACAAUGGAGGAAACUCUGAUGCAGCGAUGCCGCGUGAGUGAAGAAGGCCUUUGGGUUGUAAAGCUCUUUCGUCGGGGAAGAAAAUGACUGUACCCGAAUAAGAAGGUCCGGCUAACUUCGUGCCAGCAGCCGCGGU